UUAAAGUUCAUUCUAAGUUUUAUUAAAAAUGCAUUUACUUUCUUUUAAAAAAUCCGCAAUUACUUUUUGGGCAACCCAAUAUUUACUCUGGUUGGAAAAAAAUAAAGUGUUUGUGGGUGCAUAAAUGAAGUAUUAUUUUAAUAUAAGUAAAUAUACUCGAAAGAAAAAUGUAUAUUUCUUUCACAACAUGCAAUUCAAUCAAUCGGUACGAAAUAAUAAGGUUUGUGAAAGAAUGUGUUGCGCUUUUGGUAUUACAAUAUUUGGAUAAAAGUGGAAGAUGCUGUUAAGUUUUGCUUAUUUAACUUAUAACAGUGAAAAUACUACAAAAUCUUAUUAUUUCUACAAAUAAAUUCUGCAUUUGUCUCUUUUUUAAUUGUUUUGUGUUUCAUAAUAUAUUAAUUACGAAGGGGUGCGUUUUAGUUGAAAUUACAAAAACAUGCAUGAAUUUCAAUUCAACCCAUACAUUCACAUUUGUGUGUACACAUGCUCGUAAGCAGCUGAUCAAUUGUUUAAUGCCAUAUUAUUUUUUUUAUGUAAAUGGCAACAUUUUGGCCGAAGAAACCUAAAAAAAUCAACCUUGUCAAACCACUGAAAGAACGAUUUUCGGACAUUUUUCCGUAAAAAUUUACGUAGUACCAGCCUUAAGGUGUUGUAAGCCAAUGGAUUGGGAACCUUCAAAAGCUUUCAGCGGAAAAAAUGGCUUUUAUCUCCAACGAUGAAAUUGUGUCCAAGGCGGCACAAGUUAAGCUUGAACGCAGAUCAUGGAACUUCUCCAGGUAACUUAAAUCCGUGCGGCUGUCGACAAUUGUUGAUCACAGUGAGAAGAAAUUCGGCCAAUCUGCAUAAGCUCACCAAACUUCAGCAACUGUAUCUCAGGUAGGCAUGUUUUGCGUGUCGAAAAUGAAGUUUCGGCAAAUGGACUGCCAUCAACAGAAAAUUGGCGCACCGUUGAUAAACGUGGAGUUGAUUCCAAUCUCCGGAUGGAACUCAUCUGUCGAGUCAAUUUGGUCUGACAUCCAGAUACAAGGCGGUAAACUUCAUCCGUUCUUCACUUUCUAUUUCGGCCGUUACCAUCUCCUCCAACGCUGAAUAAGUCUCUUCGAAUAAGGCGUUUAACUGCUCCACAUAGUCGAGACGGACGUACAAAUCUACAUCAUCAUAUUCACCAAGCUGCGUCGGCGUAAGGGAUUUUUUCAACAUCUCCAACUGCUUUAGCAUUGAUGCAAUCCUUGUCAUGGGGUAAUACAUUUUUUGAAUUUACACCAUCACUUGCGUUGCAGAGCAUACUGCGUCUGGUAUAUUUCCUUUUUUUAGCAACUUCACGGUAUUUCACAAAAGACUUUAAAAAAUUAAAGAAAUUUUAUCCGA